UGAGGAAUAUUGCACAAUGGACGAAAGUCUGAUGCAGCAACGCCGCGUGGAGGAUGAAGGUCUUUGGAUUGUAAACUCCUUUUCUCAGGGAAGAGAAUGGACGGUACCUGAGGAAUAAGUCACGGCUAACUACGUGCCAGCAGCCGCGGUAAUACGUAGGUGGCGAGCGUUAUCCGGAAUUACUGGGCGUAAAGCGCACGCAGGCGGUCUUUUAAGUUUGACGUGAAAGCUCCCGGCUUAACUGGGAGAGGUCGUUGAAUACUGGGAGACUUGAGGCAAUGAGAGGGGUGUAGAAUUCCCGGUGUAGUGGUGGAAUGCGUAGAUAUCGGGGGGAAUACCAGUGGCGAAAGCGGCACCCUAGCGUUGUUCUGACGCUCAUGUGCGAAAGCGUGGGGAGCGAA
rnacentral:rRNA from 1 species